UGCCAGAGCCAUAUGCUCUGCCAGGGUGCUGUAGUUCUUGCCUGGUUUCCCCACGGAAGCUAAGCAGAGUUGAACCUAACCAGUACCUGGAUGGGAGACCUCCUGGGGAAAACUAAGGUUGCUGGAAG
rnacentral:rRNA from 1 species